rnacentral:rRNA from 1 species
AGAAUCAACGCUGGCGGCGUGCCUAACACAUGCAAGUCGAACGAGAAAGUGGGAGCAAUCCCACGAGUAAAGUGGCGCACGGGUGAGUAACACGUGACUAACCUACCCUUGAGUGGGGGAUAACCUAGGGAAACCUGGGCUAAUACCGCAUAAUACCUACGGGUCAAAGGAGCAAUUCGCUUAAGGAGGGGUCGCGGCAGAUUAGUUAGUUGGCGGGUAAUGGCCCACCAAGACAGUGAUCUGUA